UUAGCCCCGUUUACACGAGCAAAUUUUAUUUGACAAAUUUGAUUUCAUCAAAAUCAAAUGCAUUUGUCACAAUAAAUUUGUGACAAAUUUAUCAUCUACACGAGUCACGAGCAAAAUAUCUCUGACUUAUGAAAUUUGUCAAAUAAAAUUUGCUCGUGUAAAUGGGGCUUUAUU